rnacentral:rRNA from 1 species
CAAUAGCGUAUAUUAAAGUUGUUGCGGUUAAAAAGCUCGUAGUUGGAUUUCUGCUGAGAACGACCGGUCCGCCCUUUGGGUGUGUAUCUGGCUCUUUCUUGGCAUCUUCUUGGUGAACGUUGCUGCACUUGACUGUGUGGAGCGCUACCCAGGACUUUUACUUUGAGGAAAUUAGAGUGUUUCAAGCAGGCAUACGCCUUGAAUACAUUAGCAUGGAAUAAUAAGAUAGGACCUCGGUUCUAUUUUGUUGGUUUCUAGAGCUGAGGUAAUGAUUAAUAGGGAUAGUUGGGGGCAUUCGUAUUUAACUGUCAGAGGUGUAAUUCUUGGAUUUGUUAAAGACGGACUACUGCGAAAACAUUUGCCAAGGAUGUUUUCAUUGA